GAUAGAGUGCGAGGGCGAGCUGAGAAAGCGAAAGCGAAAGCGAAAGAGAACGCUGCAUAAAGGCCUCUUGUGUCCUUGUCUAAUAACGCAUGCUCGUUCGUAUAGCAAACAUAUAAGUGUAUAGCCAACACAAACAUUGUCAGUGUCAUGCCUGAUUAGACAAGGACAGAAGACACUUUUAUGCAGCGUUCUUUCUACUCCUAUAUCGCAUCCACUUACACGAUAAUUUAAGACUAUAUGACUCGCGUACUCUAACUCUUUGUAUAUCUAUGGUUAUAAUAGACAUUUAUUGCAGUCUCACAGUUGUUAGAAAUUUUGAGUUUUAGGACAUGUCUAAGAAUCAUCGAAAUGGAAAGGUUUCCUCGGUGCGUCAAUAUCUUCAAGAAUUCGUGGACAUGGCUGCAAGCGUUAGUGGAGAGGACAGAGUCGUUCUAUCAGGCGUAACGAUCAGUGGACAGUCCUGUGCGAAAUCUUCAGUUGCGAACAGUAUCUCCAAGCAUCGAUGAAGGUACGCCGAAACGAGCUAUUCGUGUAGAGAGGAGAACUGAGGCAACGGUUGUCGCUUCCAUAUCAACGAUGGGAAUGGCUUCGGACCAACGCGAAAAACGGUCGAUACACGUUAGACAAUGUGAGAAUACGUGCCUGGUGACAUUGCAUCGUUGACACGGGAUACAUUGUCGUGCCCAAGUCCGGCAAUCUUUAUUUACGGACGGUCAAAUGAAACGCGACGUCACCAAUUUUUGCGUGGCACGUAUCUCUGGAUGGGAAAGUCCGUGGAGCGAAUUAAACACGUCGCGCCGCAAGGAUUUCGGUACGUACCAUCGUACAAUGUCGCCUGAUAUGUCGCAAUAAAUUUCUACCUAUAA